AUCACCUGGGCAUCUUGUUAAAACGCAGGUUCUUGUUCAGUAAGGUGGGGUCUGAAAUUCUGCAUUUCUAACAAACUUCCAGGUGAUGUUGG
rnacentral:pre_miRNA from 1 species